GCCCUCGUAGCUUAACGGCCAGAGCCUCCUCUUAUCCUGAGGUUGGUUGCAGAGAAUUAUGGGGAAGACGUGGGUUCGACUCCCACCGAGGGCA